UUAUGUUGUAAAGGUGUUGUAUUGUUGUCAAAGUAAAAAGUCAAAAAGGGUUGUGUUUUUCGAAAAGUGAUUAUUUACUUUAUUUCGUUCGUUAUAAUUAAUUAUAAAUGUUUAGAAGACUCUUUUUACAAUGUUGUGAGGCUUUAUUAAAUUAGUUAAUCGUAACUGUGUGCAAUUAAGUGCAAUAGAGAAUAUCUAUCUACUGAAGAUGUUAAAUUUCUAAAAACUAAAGUAGCAAGAAAAAAUGGAAGAAAAAAGUGAAACAGAACCCUCCUUAUCGCCCCCCACUGACGAUAAAGAAGUACUCGAAUCUCCAAGAACCACGGCUUUUACCAUAGACUUCGGGGAUGACAAUCGAAAAGUUGAUUUCCAAAGGCACAAAUCAUUGUCGGAAAAGUUCCAAAAGAGGCACAAAAGAGGGAAAUCCAUGUCCAAGCUGGAGAGUGCCUCCGUGGAAAAUACCGCAACGAGUACCAAAAAGUAUCCUCUCACUGGAAAUAUGCCAAGAAAAUCAAGUUUACAAUUUGAAGAUGAACGAACGAACGAGCAACGAUGCAAAAGUGCGAACGUCGCCAGCUCCAAUCGGAUAGAUCUGACGCUUCCCCUUGAACGAACCACCUCCGAUAGGAUGACGCACUCCUUCCCUAACGCAGCUCUCUUAUCACUAACCAGCCCCAGCGGAGUUUGUGACCUCCAAAACGUUUCUAGUCCUGAAUUUGAACUCAUUAGUCCGUUUAGUCCUUUGGUAGACGAUGUACUUAGGAAUGUUAAUAGUAUUAGUUUGUCCUCAGAGGAGGCGAACAUCGAGACGAACUUCAGCUGCAACGACCUGGCGGAUCUCGACCGAAAAUCGGACACCGUCAGUGAGGCGGGCACGUACACGUUAGAAGUGGACAAUUACUCCGAAGAGCAAAAAGCGCGCAUGAGCAUCGACAACGACUUCAAAAUCGAGCCUCUCUCAGUCGAAGAUAAAACCCAAGAGUACAUCAAGAGCCUCUCGAUCGGUCGAUUUUUACCGGAGGGUCAGGAUCUGUGUCUUCAAUCCAGCUCCGGUUCUUCUGCCUUCUCUAGUAUGCACAGCAGUUUUUCUGGAGGGCAUCCAAUACCGCCAGUACCACCGUUGAAACCUCAUCCGAAUGAACGACCCGUCGAACUCCUCUUCAAAGGCCCAACAAACCCCUCCGGCGACUAUCCCCUAAAAAAGGUGCUGUCACCGAUUUUGUCGCCGACGCAAAACGUCUCGAUCGCGGGCGGCGACUGCGCGCCCCAACAUUCACCGGGCCACGCCCCUCUAACGAAACUCAUGCCAAAGGUCAGUGAGUGUUCCGACAGUGGCGCCAUCAUAUCGGUGACAUCUAGCGGCGUGUUUCGCACCAAAGCCGAGGAGAAGCGGAGACGCGAACGUAAUCGGAGUUUGACGAAGUCCGAGGUGCACGUGGAGGCGUACGUGGACGGCCGGAUGUACAGCGAGCAGAAGAGCAACAACGUGACGGUGGUGCCGAGACCAAAGAACCAACUGACGGUGAACGUGCAGAAUAUUGAGGUGGUGCCGGGGAACGGUGACGACCCGGGAAACGUGGUCAGCGCCAGUUUGGUCUUUGGUAAAAUGGGGAAUGUUGCUACCGUCACCACCGGUCUUCCUCCCGUCCCGACGGAGGGCAAAACGUCCCCCUCGAAAAUCCCGUCGCCGAUUCACACGCUCUCGCGGCCCCGCAGUCGCUCGAGCAUCUCCGCCCUCGCGGACGACUUCGACACCGAAAUGAUCCUGAAACCGACACGGAACUACAUCAACUCGCUGCAACGGAAACUGUCACUGGACAACAGCGACCCGGACAGCGAUUACGAGAUCAAAUUGGGAAUGCAGUUGAACAACACGGCGCAUUUGCUUAAGCAACGAGCGCUACACACCAGACACAACUCCUUAGAUGACACGAGGACGAUUAAUAACAAACUGGAGCAUUUUCAGAGCAAGAAUUUGCAGGCGAUCGAUCAAACUUACACCAACGUGUUUAAUCAAUACGGGAAGCAGAAUAAUGUGGUCGUGAAUAAGAUUAAUAAUUCGCCUAGCAACAGCCCCGUAAGGAGAUCGAGCAGUUUCUCGAACAGGAAUCAGAUGUUUAGUGCGAAGAGCACGAAUAUGGUGCAGAAGGGGUCGAACUGUUGCGCCUCGCCCAGUUUGGGGAAGAACGAGAGGAUCCAGAGGAGCUCGUCCACCGCGAAUAUUAAGCCCGGUUUUGCGGGGGGUAAUGCCCGCCUGGGAGUGGUGGAGCACAAAAAGAUCGACAGGAGUCAGUUCGGCGAUACGGAGUCCAGUUCGGAAGAGGACCUGGACCCGAACCUGCAAAAGAAGAAGGAUCUCGGCAGUUUAACGAACACCAGGUGCAACCGAACGUUCAGUUUGAGGAGGGCGCGGGUGGACAACGAGGCGGCGAACAAACUUAAGUGCCCGAACACGCCGGACAUGCGCCGUAAGACGUUCGGGGGGGUCGGCACCAAGCCCGAGAGGGCGAUUUCCAUGGAUAGGAAACCCGUUAAGACCAAUGAGGUGCAAAGUCGGUACCUCCUUAGUUUAAACAAAAGGGCCACCUCGAUACCGAAGGAGUUACCGAAGCCGGCUUCUAAACCUCCGUGUCCAUCUACGAAACCGGCGGUUGCCCUCAAGGCCGGUUCGCCGUUUUCUCGGGAAACCGGCCGGUUCAGCAUGCGCACGCAGAAACCGUCACCCGUCGCAGUAGGCGGGGCCCCAAAGACCGGAGUUAGCAAAAAAGACGGUAAACAUUCAAAGCAGAAUAACGGAGGUAGAAGCAAUUCGUCUCUAUCCAGUCGAGAGGUGGAAUUUCAAAAUUGGAAACGCCGAAAAACUUACGAUCCCAUGAAAGCAGCCGCAGAGGGUAAAAGAAAAGAGUUGGAGAAACGGUUGAGUGGUAUGACUGGCAACGCCGCAAAAACAGGAGCUAGUCCAGAUAGUUCGCCAUCCCACUCUGGAUCCGUACAUCGAUCACAGUGGUACAACACUCUAUAAGUGACGAAACCUCACCAAAAAAAAACAAACGUAUUAUUGAUAAAUUGCAGAGCUUCCACGGAACGGCAGCUUUAGAACAAUUGAUCAGCAGCGACGAAGAGGAGGACGCGACCGACGAGGGCUUCAGUCCGCCCACGCCGAGUCCCUGCGACCUCAGCCCCACCAAAGCCACCCUGAGGCACACCCUCUGGGAUCGAAUACAUAAUAAUUAAGUAAAACAAUUAUUUUUCUUUUUAUCUUCCUUUAUUCUUAUAGUAGCAGUGUAAAUAUAUUUAUCAAAUUGUU
rnacentral:misc_RNA from 1 species